rnacentral:rRNA from 1 species
GACGAACGCUGGCGGCGUGCCUAAUACAUGCAAGUUGAGCGAUGAAGAUUGGUGCUUGCACCAAUUUGAAGAGCAGCGAACGGGUGAGUAACGCGUGGGGAAUCUGCCUUUGAGUGGGGGACAACAUUUGGAAACGAAUGCUAAUACCGCAUAACAACUUUAAACAUAAGUUUUAAGUUUGAAAGAUGCAAUUGCAUCACUCAAAGAUGAUCCCGCGUUGUAUUAGCUAGUUGGUGAGGUAAAGGAUCACCAAGGGGAUGAUACAUAGCCGACCUGAGAGGGUGAUCGGCCACAUUGGGACUGAGACACGGCCCAAACUCCUACGGGAGGCAGCAGUAGGGAAUCUUCGGCAAUGGACGAAAGUCUGACCGAGCAACGCCGCGUGAGUGAAGAAGGUUUUCGGAUCGUAAAACUCUGUUGGUAGAGAAGAACGUUGGUGAGAGUGGAAAGCUCAUCAAGUGACGGUAACUACCCAGAAAGGGACGGCUAACUACGUG